CAAGUCGAGCGAACAGAUGAGGAGCUUGCUCCUCUGACGUUAGCGGCGGACGGGUGAGUAACACGUGGAUAACCUACCUAUAAGACUGGGAUAACUUCGGGAAACCGGAGCUAAUACCGGAUAAUAUAUUGAACCGCAUGGUUCAAUAGUGAAAGACGGUUUUGCUGUCACUUAUAGAUGGAUCCGCGCCGCAUUAGCUAGUUGGUAAGGUAACGGCUUACCAAGGCAACGAUGCGUAGCCGACCUGAGAGGGUGAUCGGCCACACUGGAACUGAGACACGGUCCAGACUCCUACGGGAGGCAGCAGUAGGGAAUCUUCCGCAAUGGGCGAAAGCCUGACGGAGCAACGCCGCGUGAGUGAUGAAGGUCUUCGGAUCGUAAAACUCUGUUAUUAGGGAAGAACAAAUGUGUAAGUAACUAUGCACGUCUUGACGGUACCUAAUCAGAAAGCCACGGCUAACUACGUGCCAGCAGCCGCGGUAAUACGUAGGUGGCAAGCGUUAUCCGGAAUUAUUGGGCGUAAAGCGCGCGUAGGCGGUUUUUUAAGUCUGAUGUGAAAGCCCACGGCUCAACCGUGGAGGGUCAUUGGAAACUGGAAAACUUGAGUGCAGAAGAGGAAAGUGGAAUUCCAUGUGUAGCGGUGAAAUGCGCAGAGAUAUGGAGGAACACCAGUGGCGAAGGCGACUUUCUGGUCUGUA
rnacentral:rRNA from 1 species